GCCUCUGUGGAUCAAGGUAGAUCGCCCCAAGUUGAUGACAUGUAUUCAAUGUGGGUUCGAAUCCCAUUGCAGGCA